CCUACGGGGGGCUGCAGUGGGGAAUAUUGGACAAUGGGGGGAACCUUGAUCCAGCCAUGCCGCGUGUGUGAAGAAGGCCCUCGGGUUGUAAAGCACUUUCAGUGAGGAAGAACGCCUGGUGGUUAAUACCCAUCAGGAAAGACAUCACUCACAGAAGAAGCACCGGCUAACUCCGUGCCAGCAGCCGCGGUAAUACGGAGGGUGCGAGCGUUAAUCGGAAUUACUGGGCGUAAAGCGCGCGUAGGUGGCUUGAUAAGCCGGUUGUGAAAGCCCCGGGCUCAACCUGGGAACGGCAUCCGGAACUGUCAAGCUAGAGUGCAGGAGAGGAAGGUAGAAUUCCCGGUGUAGCGGUGAAAUGCGUAGAGAUCGGGAGGAAUACCAGUGGCGAAGGCGGCCUUCUGGACUGACACUGACACUGAGGUGCGAAAGCGUGGGUAGCAAACAGGAUUAGAUACCCGGGUAGUC
rnacentral:rRNA from 1 species